CCACUAUUUGAUUUAAAUACUUUAUUUCUUAUUUUAUUUUUAACUCUCUCUUUCUGAAAUCCCUCAUAUCUCUCUUUCUCAAUCCCUAAAUUUCUCCAUGCCUCCGAUCUCCAGCCUCUCACUGCACCUCUCGCACGAUCGACUAUCGCCUUUAGCCUUUCUGAAUAAAUGGCCUUUGAAUCGAGCUCAUCCUCGUCUCCUCUGGUGGGUCAAUGGAAGUUGAGCGCCACCUCUGCUUGCUCGGGACGCCGCCUCCUUCGGUCCCAUCGCCUCCGCUGGCCGGGGUGAAGAAGUUGAGCACGGACUAUGCUGGGGAACAACAAGGGAGGGUUUUCGUUCACUGUUGCCAAGGGGUCUCCCGAUCCACAUCUUUGGUAAUUGCUUAUAUUAUUGGGAGAGAAGGCCAGAGUUUUGAUGAUGCUUUUCAGUAUGUGAAAGCAGCGAGAGGAGAGAAGGCUAGAGUUUUUCUUGUCUGAGAUUUUUUAUCACAGACUAAAACUCUACUUGGAUAUUUAAGAGAACCAAGACAAUUAUAUAAGAGAACUAAUGCAACACGAAAUUCUUCUCCAAGUUGUUGGGUAUUAUUUUUUUUCUUGCUUGUAAGAAUUAUAUACAGUGAGGAUUUGAUGUAUUAUUUACAUCGAGAAUAAUGAAUUUUCAUUGAGACUUCUUUAGUCUCAUGGGGAUUAGAUGUAUUAUUUACAUUUUAAUUGUAUGAAUAAAUGUUGUGUGUAUAUGAAUUUUUAUUAUGA